UACGGUCACAUCACGUUAAAAUACCAGUUUCCGUACGGUCGCCGUAGUUAAGCAACGUCGAACCUGGCAAGUACCUAGAUAGGUGACUGUCUGAGAAUACCAGGUGCUGUAAG